rnacentral:lncRNA from 1 species
AAAAGAACGCGAGAAAAAAAAAAAAGAGAGAUAAAAAGGUAUAAGGAUAUUUUGAUUAGUUUGUUGAAAAUUCGGACCAAAUUUGCGAAAUUGAAAAAAGCGGUCCAGUUUUGCAAAAGCUCAAAACUUGUGGAUUUUUUAUGCAAAUUGGCCAAAAAUAUUUAAAGUUUUAAAGCAAAAAAAUUUCAUAAUAUAAAAGACACACAGUAAGAAAUUAGAAUUAGAAUUAGAAUUUUUAGAAUGGGUAAAUAAAAAAAAAAUUUGUAAUUAAAAAUAUAUGUGCGGAUAUCUUGGGUAACCCAAAAUGCUCACAUUUUAAUAGAUACUCAUCCGUUUUACUCAUAAUUUUUUGGGUUGGAAAAGUUAGUAUCUAUACUCGCAAAUUUGCAGAUAAUCGGCGGGCACCCGCUGGUUUGCAUCAAGAUUGCUAGGUCUAGCCGCGACGGUACUGAUAUUUCUGAUG